ACGUAGUUGGCCGGUCCUUCUUCUGCACAUACCGUCACUUGCGCUUCGUCUGUGCUGAAAGAGGUUUACAACCCGAAGGCCGUCAUCCCUCACGCGGCGUCGCUGCAUCAGGCUUGCGCCCAUUGUGCAAUAUUCCCCACUGCUGCCUCCCGUAGGAGUCUGGGCCGUAUCUCAGUCCCAGUGUGGCCGGUCACCCUCUCAGGCCGGCUACCCGUCGUCGCCUUGGUAGGCCAUUACCCCACCAACAAGCUGAUAGGCCGCGGGCCCAUCCCACACCGCAAAAGCUUUCCACCACACCCCAUGAAGAGCAUGAUCAUAUUCGGUAUUAGACCCAGUUUCCCAGGCUUAUCCCAAAGUGCAGGGCAGAUCACCCACGUGUUACUCACCCGUUCGCCACUCGAGUACCCCGAAGGGCCUUUCCGUUCGACUUGCAUGUGUUAAGCACGCCGCCAGCGUUCGUCCUGAGCCAGGAUCAAACUCA
rnacentral:rRNA from 1 species